UUAACACUAUGUUUAGCUUAUUUUCUUGCACUAUGCUUUAAUCUAACUUGAAUUUAUAUUUAAAUUAAGCGGUCAAAUUUCCAGGCUAGUGGUCACUUAACCUAUCUUAGACACAAAAAUAUUGUUUUACGAGGAAGAAUUAUUAUUAUUCCUUUGAGAAAGCUAAAAAAUGUAUUAUGAUACCUCUAAGUAAGUUCGAUGAUUACUUUUGAUAUCCUAGACGUCGAUCAGUAGGUAUAUUCAUUGAAAAUGGAUUUCCUCAAGAAUGGAUGACAGAGACUUUUAAACGACACUGUAAUAUAUAUCAUUAUUAAUUACCUCGGUUUAAUUGAACAAAAUCUAGAAUAUCAAAAUGAGAGGUAAGUUGGAAUGCUAGUAAAUCUAAU
rnacentral:lncRNA from 1 species